rnacentral:rRNA from 1 species
AGUCACUGACAUAGACUACCCCUGUAGUCCAGGGUGUAAACGCUGCAGACUUGGUGUUGGAACCCGUUCGGGGGUGCUCAGUGCCGGAGAGAAGUUGUUAAGUCUGCUACGUUGGGAGUACGUCCGCAAGGAUAGAAAACUUAAAGGAAUUGGCGGGGGAGCACCGCAACGGGAGGAGCGUGCGGUUUAAUUGGAUUCAACACCGUAAAACUCACCAGGGAAGACUGUUACAUGAAGGCCGAGAUGAAGACUCUGCUAGAUUUUCAG